GACGAACGCUGGCGGCGUGCCUAAUACAUGCAAGUCGAGCGAAGUUUUUCUGGUGCUUGCACUAGAAAAACUUAGCGGCGAACGGGUGAGUAACACGUAAAGAACCUGCCUCAUAGACUGGGACAACUAUUGGAAACGAUAGCUAAUACCGGAUAACAGUAUUUCUCGCAUGAGAGAUAUUUAAAAGUUGGUUAUGCUAACACUAUGAGAUGGCUUUGCGGUGCAUUAGCUAGUUGGUGGGGUAAAGGCCCACCAAGGCGACGAUGCAUAGCCGACCUGAGAGGGUGAUCGGCCACACUGGGACUGAGACACGGCCCAGACUCCUACGGGAGGCAGCAGUAGGGAAUCUUCCGCAAUGGGCGAAAGCCUGACGGAGCAACGCCGCGUGAGUGAAGAAGGAUUUCGGUUCGUAAAGCUCUGUUGUUAGGGAAGAAUGGAUAUGUAGUAACUAUACAUGUAAGCGACGGUACCUAACCAGAAAGCCACGGCUAACUACGUG
rnacentral:rRNA from 1 species